UACGGCGGGUGCAAGCGUUAUCCGGAUUCACUGGGUUUAAAGGGUGCGUAGGCGGGCAGGUAAUUCCGUGGUUAAAUCUCUGAGCUUAACUCAGAAACUGCCAUGGAUACUAUUUGUCUUGAAUAUUGUGGAGGUAAGCGGAAUAUGUCAUGUAGCGGUGAAAUGCUUAGAUAUGACAUAGAACACCAAUUGCGAAGGCAGCUUACUACACAGUUAUUGACGCUGAGGCACGAAAGCGUGGGGAUCAAACAGG
rnacentral:rRNA from 1 species